GUUUUAGUAGUUUAAUUAAAACACUGGUCUUGUAAACCAACAUUAAGGCUAUCCUUCUAAAACU
rnacentral:tRNA from 1 species